UACGGAGGGAGCUAGCGUUGUUCGGAAUUACUGGGCGUAAAGCGCGCGUAGGCGGCUUUGUAAGUUAGAGGUGAAAGCCCGGAGCUCAACUCCGGAACUGCCUUUAAGACUGCAUCGCUUGAAUCCGGGAGAGGUGAGUGGAAUUCCGGAGUGUAGAGGUGAAAUUCGUAGAUAUUCGGAAGAACACCAGUGGCGAAGGCGGCUCACUGGACCGGCAUUGACGCUGAGGUGCGAAAGCGUGGGGAGCAAACAGG
rnacentral:rRNA from 1 species